rnacentral:misc_RNA from 1 species
GAUGAAGAACGUAGCGAAAUGCGAUAAGUAAUGUGAAUUGCAGAAUUCAGUGAAUCAUCGAAUCUUUGAACGCACAUUGCGCCCGCCAGUAUUCUGGCGGGCAUGCCUGUUCGAGCGUCAUUUCAACCAUCAAGCCCCCGGCUUGUGUUGGGGACCUGCGGCUGCCGCAGGCCCUGAAAACCAGUGGCGGGCUCGCUAGUCACUCCGAGCGUAGUAAUACAUCUCGCUCAGGGCGUGCUGCGGGUUCCGGCCGUUAAAAGCCUUAUUUACCCAAGGUUGACCUCGGAUCAGGUAGGAAGACCCGCUGAACUUAAGCAUAUCAAUAAGGAGGA